rnacentral:rRNA from 1 species
GAUGAACGCUGGCGGCGUGCUUAACACAUGCAAGUCGAACGAUGAGGCCCAGCUUUCGUGGUGUGUUAGUGUCGAACGGGUGAGUAACACGUGAGUAACCUGCCCUUAACUCUUUGGUAAGCCUGGGGAACUCGGGCUAAUAUAGCGGAGAGGCGUCCACCGCGUAUGGGGGGGGUUGGAGAUUUAUCGCUGUUGGGUGUAGUCUCGGCGUAUCAGCUCUUUGGUGGGGUAAUGGGUCACCAAGGCGACGAGGGGGAGCCGGCCUGAGAGGGGGACGGGCCAAAUUGGGAAUGAGACACGGCCCAGACUCCUAGGGGAGGGAGGAGUGGGGAAUAUUGCACAAGGGGCGAAAGCCUGAUGCAGCGACGCCGCGUGGGGGAUGACGGCCUUGGGGUUGUAACCCUCUUUCAGUAGGGAAGAAGCGAAAGUGAGGGUACCGGCAGAAGAAGCACCGGCUAACUACGU